CAAGGUGUUCCUGCAUGAGUGAAGUAAAUGUUAGUUUCAUGGAGAAAAUCGCAGAAAACUCACAAAGACUUGCGAAACUUGGCGAGGAUUUUGAGCUCUCUGGAACAAAGAAACCGAUCCUUCACAGGCAGAAAUCCAUGAAAGUUCCAACGGACGAAUGGAAAUCGAAUGAGAAGAAAUAGUUCUCAACCGAAAGGCUGGAAGUUCUUAUGAAACACAAGAAAGUUCUUACAAACAAAAGAUUCCUGGCCACUGCUAGGCGGCAGCUUGGGCUUCCUGCAAAAAAUUCAAAAGCGAGAGGUUACGCAGGAAAUUCUAAUUCUUCUCAUUUGGCUGCUCGAUCCAAUCCAAGAGAGAUUUCAUUCUGGGAGAGGAAGUGCUGCUUGCUUAACUUACCUUGCCCAUGGUGUUGACAUGAGCCAUAUGAGGAAGAUAGCCCAUGAGAAAGAGAGCGCCGCCAAUGAUGCCCA
rnacentral:lncRNA from 1 species